rnacentral:lncRNA from 1 species
UAACGCCUCGGGGAAGGGGAAGCCGGCGAAGGCUGGAAUCGCUGCCUCUGGCUUUCAGUUUUUCGGCUCGCAGGGUUGGGUCACUGACGCUUCGCCGUUUGUCUGUGGCUCGCGUACAGCCUUCCCAAUUGCUUCCCCGCCCUUGGAUCCAGCCCUGUGUGCAUUAACGUCUAUUAUCCCACUCCGCCGCGAGUCCCCUCCGCGUCCCCUGGCACGGAGGCCGUAACUAUGGAGAAUAUGGCGGAGGAGGAGCUGCUACCCCAGGAGAAGGAGGAGGCCCAGAGAGACACAUCUCAAUUCAAAGGCGGCUUGCUGAUCUGGAGAAGUUAGCUUUUGGGACUGAAGGAGAUGUUGACUCUGCCAGUUCAUUGAACUCAGAUAAUCUGGAAAACAUUCAAACUUGCCCGCUGUGUCCUAAGGAAAAGUUCAGAGCUUACAGCAGUCAUAAGCUUCGUCGACACCUUCAGAAUUUACAUUGGAAAAUCUCAGUUGAAUUUGAAGGCUCCAGGAUGUGCAUCUGUCACUUAGCGUGCCGGCCAGUGAAGCCAACAAUUGUUGGAGAGCAGAUAUCCAGUAAAUUGGGAGCCCAUUAUCACUGCAUCAUUU